UCCAGUAGUUUGUUAUAUCCUCAUGAUGACAGGCAAAUGAAUCCUUCCAUGAAGGUGAGGAAUAAUAUAUCUGUGGGUUCUACAGCACUGGUGUAGCUAUGGGAAGCCAGCUGCCAAACAACAUAGCUGGAACAAAAAACCUCUUCCAUGCAGCCAAGCUAUGGGAAGAAGGGAAGAGCAGAAAGGGAGAGAAGAAAUUGGAGGCUAUCCCAAUCUAGAAGAUGAAGAAAGAAGACAUGC